rnacentral:rRNA from 1 species
AUUGAACGCUGGCGGCAGGCUUAACACAUGCAAGUCGAGCGGAGUGAUGGUGCUUGCACUAUCACUUAGCGGCGGACGGGUGAGUAAUGCUUAGGAAUCUGCCUAUUAGUGGGGGACAACAUCUCGAAAGGGAUGCUAAUACCGCAUACGUCCUACGGGAAAAAUCAGCGGAUCACUUGUGACCUUGCGCUAAUAGAGGAGCCUAAUUCGGAUUAGCUAGUUGGUGGGGUAAAGGCCUACCAAGGCGACGAUCUGUAGCGGGUCUGAGAGGAUGAUCCGCCACACUGGGACUGAGACACGGCCCAGACUCCUACGGGAGGCAGCAGUGGGGAAUAUUGGACAAUGGGGGGAACCCUGAUCCAGCCAUGCCGCGUGUGUGAAGAAGGCCUUAUGGUUGUAAAGCACUUUAAGCGAGGAGGAGGCUUACCUAGUUAAUACCUGGGAUAAGUGGACGUUACUCGCAGAAUAAGCACCGGCUAACUCUGUGCCAGCAGCCGCCGUAA